rfam:Octopus bimaculoides Scaffold328813_contig_1, whole genome shotgun sequence.
GUCCGAUCACCGAAGUUAAGCAACGUCGAGCCUAGUGAGUACUUAGAUGGAUGACCUCUUGGGAAACCUAGGUGCUGUAAGCA